rnacentral:rRNA from 1 species
CCUACGGGAGGCAGCAGUAGGGAAUAUUGCUCAAUGGGGGAAACCCUGAAGCAGCAACGCCGCGUGGAGGAUGAAGGUUUUCGGAUUGUAAACUCCUUUUGUUAGAGAAGAUAAUGACGGUAUCUAACGAAUAAGCACCGGCUAACUCCGUUCCAUCAGCCGCGGUAAUACGGAGGGUGCAAGCGUUACUCGGAAUCACUGGGCGUAAAGAGCGCGUAGGCGGGAGAGCAAGUCAGAUGUGAAAUCCUAUGGCUUAACCAUAGAACUGCAUUUGAAACUGUUCUUCUAGAGUAUGGGAGAGGUAGGUGGAAUUCUUGGUGUAGGGGUAAAAUGCGUAGAGAUCAAGAGGAAUACUCAUGGCGAAGGCGACCUGCUAGAACAUAACUGACGCUGAUGCGCGAAAGCGUGGGGAGCAAACAGGAUUAGAUACCCGAGUAGUC